ensembl:lncRNA
CGGCGGCCUCACAGGAUGUGUCGGGCAAUGCUGCCCCCUGCCGGCCGCGAGGCGCAGGGCUGCUUCCCUGCCUCCCGGGCGGAGGUGGAAGUUAGACCGCAAAGCGGAACGUCGCCGCCGCCCUCAUUCGCUGUGUGAACGCUCUUCGUGCACGGCGGGGAAAUGAGCCCCGUGAGCGCAGGGGUCUUCCCCGAAGUUUCUGCAUUUUGCUGUCCCGCUGCUGCUCUGAGCAUCGCGAUCCGCGCGAAGUGGAAUGUGCUUCGAACAAAACGAGCAUAUUCUGACUUGGCACUUGUGAAGCAUCUGAAAGAAGAUGCUUCUUGAAGAAGUUGACAGAAAUGUCUUACACCAGCGCAGUGUAACGCUGCAUGGAAGGCCCAGGUCUGAAGUAUGCUCACCUGGGUGUGCUGAGGAGCAUUGGGACAAUUUCCAGAGGGAUCUGGCAGGUAUGCAAACCACAGUACUGUAUCCUAGGUUACUGAGAUGCCAGAGGAGGCACCCAUGGAAUCUCCAGGCCUGAAUGUGUAGUCAAAGUAGCAUCAACAGGGUAUGACAGAAGUCCAUUGUGGAUGUUUAUUUCAAGACCUCCCUUUUUGCUAGAGAAUUACAAUCCCAAGAAAAGCAGGCACCAGAGGCUGACUAGAUUUGUCCUGCCUGUCUUAUCUCCUGCAUUAAGCUCCUCCUGUCAUUUGGGAGGUGACAGAAUUUGGCAGUGCCCAGCACACAAACAAAUGACCUAGAAAGAGUCCGCAGCAGAUUAUAUUACUGUGAAUCCUGUUUUGCUGUCUAUUUCUGUUUUAUCAGGUGUGGGCCAUUACACCUCAUUAUGAAAAUCAAAAGGACUGAAAACAAAAGAGACAUCUCAGCUUGUCACCAUGCUAUUCCUCCUUGCUGUAUGUAUGGUAACUGUGAGUCACACCCUGAACCACUGAUUGAGCACCUGGGUAAAGGACCAGGCCAGCCCUAGGAGCACAGCUGAAGGCAAUUCACCUGUGCAACUGGAAGAGGUGGAGCCUGGCUGCACCUCUCUUAGACCCCCCCAUUUAAGGGCUGACUGGCCCUGGGAGAAGGAUCUCUGGUUGGAGAUCGUUCCUUUGUGGAGUCUUUCUUGUGAGCCUAGAUCUUCAGAGAUGGAGCUGCCAUCCUGGUUCCCCAUGUUGCUAAUGUCAGCCAGCUCUCCUGGAGUCCUUUGAGAAGGACAACAGAAAACUACGGCAGCAACUAGAAUAAAUAGGGAAUAUGAACUACGUUUCUUCCUUUUUCACUCCAAGAAGGAAGACAAAGAAGUAUGGUACACUACAUCUGUGACAUGGUAAAAACCUCAGGUGGGAAGCAGAGAUUCCAACGCAGCAUACCAGUUGCUUUGAUGGUAGCAUGGAUGGAAAAAUGUGUAUGAAAUGGACUAAGCUUCAAGUACCAAAAACUGGAAAAUGCAGGGCAGAAGAAGGUACAGCACAAUGUAGCUGCAUAGCUACACCUGUGGAAUGUGACUCCAGGAGAAACAACAGAAGCACUUUCUCUGGAUAGCAGGAAUGUUCAUUCAUAGACGUUAUGCGCCGUGACUGGGUGUCAAUGGUGUUUCAACACUUCACAACAAGUAAAUGAAUUUUCUUG